rnacentral:rRNA from 1 species
UACGAAGGGGCUAGCGUUGCUCGGAAUCACUGGGCGUAAAGGGUGCGUAGGCGGGUCUUUAAGUCGAGGGUGAAUCCUAGGAGCUCGAACUUCCCAGAACUGCCUUUGAUACUGAAGAUACGUUGAGUUCGGGAGAGGUGAGUGGAACUGACGAGUGUAGAGGUGAAAUUCGUAGAUAUCGCGAAGAACACCAGUGGCGAAGGCGGCUACUGGCCCGUAUACUGACGCUGAGGCACGAAAAGCGUGGGGAGCAAACAGGG